rnacentral:rRNA from 1 species
AGCGAACGCUGGCGGCAGGCUUAACACAUGCAAGUCGAGCGGGCAUCCUUGUGGUGUCCGCGGCAGACGGGUGAGUAACGCGUGGGAACGUGCCCUUCGGUUCGGAAUAACUCAGGGAAACUUGAGCUAAUACCGGAUACGUGCGAGAGCAGAAAGGUUUAUCUGCCGAAGGAUCGGCCCGCGUCUGAUUAGCUAGUUGGUGAGGUUAUGGCUCACCAAGGCGACGAUCAGUAGCUGGUCUGAGAGGAUGAUCAGCCACACUGGGACUGAGACACGGCCCAGACUCCUACGGGAGGCAGCAGUGGGGAAUAUUGGACAAUGGGGGCAACCCUGAUCCAGCCAUGCCGCGUGAGUGAUGACGGCCUUAGGGUUGUAAGGCUCUUUUCUUCGGGACGAUAAUGACGGUACCGGAGGAAUAAGCCCCGGCUAACUUCGUG